rnacentral:ncRNA from 1 species
CCAAAUGCAAAGAACGGGAGAAGUAAGUGAGUCAAGCUUCACAGAGAGCCGGGGGACGGUGCAACCCGGUAAGCGGACUGGCUGAAAUACACCCGGGAGCAGCAGGCCGAAAGAAUGCGAGUAGGCUGCGCCGGCAGGCCGCCGUUAUCAGGCCGGAAGGCUUCAUACCUUCUGUAAGCGGCUUUUACCGGCAAUUUGGGUGGUACCGCGGGUUAUCCCGUCCCUGUU